CCUACGGGAGGCAGCAGUGAGGAAUAUUGGUCAAUGGACGAGAGUCUGAACCAGCCAAGUAGCGUGAAGGAUGACUGCCCUAUGGGUUGUAAACUUCUUUUAUAUGGGAAUAAAAUGUUCCACGUGUGGGAUUUUGUAUGUACCAUAUGAAUAAGGAUCGGCUAACUCCGUGCCAGCAGCCGCGGUAAUACGGAGGAUCCGAGCGUUAUCCGGAUUUAUUGGGUUUAAAGGGUGCGUAGGUGGAUUGUUAAGUCAGUUGUGAAAGUUUGCGGCUCAACCGUAAAAUUGCGGUUGAAACUGGCAGUCUUGAGUACAGUAGAGGUGGGCGGAAUUCGUGGUGUAGCGGUGAAAUGCUUAGAUAUCACGAAGAACUCCGAUUGCGAAGGCAGUUCACUGGACUGCAACUGACACUGAGGCUCGAAAGUGUGGGUAUCAAACAGGAUUAGAUACCCUUGUAGUC
rnacentral:rRNA from 1 species